CUCGGCAUCGUCACCAUCCCAUCAUCAUCAGCAGCAGCAUCAUCAUCAGCAGCACCAUCAUCAUCAGCAGCACCAUCAUCAUCAUCAGCAGCAUCAUCAUCAGCAUCAUCAUCAGCACCAUCAUCAUCAUCAGCACCAUCAUCAGCACCAUCAUCAGCAGCAUCAUCAUCAGCACCAUCAUCAUCAUCAGCACCAUCAUCAGCACCAUCAUCAUCAGCAGCACCAUCAUCAGCACCAUCAGCAGCACCGUCACCAUCAGCAGCAUCACCAUCAUCAGCAUCAGCAGCACCAUCAUCAGCAUCAGCAGCACCAUCAUCAGCAUCAUCAGCACUACUGCCAUCAUAAUCACCAAGCACAACGAUCCCCCUCAUAGCCUUCAGUAGACUGUUGGGUCACGCGUUGUUAGCGAGCUGCCCCUGAAGGCCGCUACGGCACGCGGCCGCCUUUGUCUCCCCAAUGACGAUGUUUUUACACAUCGCACCAGGUACUCAUUUGAGGCUGAGUCGGCAUAGGGGAAGCCCAGGACCGGUUCAGAUAAUCGUCACUGGUGUUGACCGUGAGCGGGAAUCUAACUCGGGUCGCUGGGUUCAUAGGGCAGCGCUAACCACUAAACUACGCACGAAAAGUUGAUGGUUAAGUUUAAUUUACUGUACGCAUGUGUAUGAAUGUUGAACUUCUUUCGCACCGUACGUAGCCAACCGUGCUAAUCACCGCCAUCAACACCGUCAUGAACACCAUCAUCACCAUCGCCCGCCACCUCGACCAUGAACACCACCACCGCGACCAUCCGGGACAGACUCUCAACUCGUCAUCAGCCAUGAUCAAUCCACUGCUGGAUGAAGGCCUCCUAAAGCCGUCGCCGUCUCUCACGACCCUGCGAUGUCGUGACGAUCCACCGGUCACCUCGCUCCAUCUCCUCGCGCUCGAUCAACCCUGGCCUGCGACUCCGUCACGAGUCGUGACCGUGUCGCCGCCGACUGCUCUCCACGCUGGGCCGAGUUAAUGAUCGGCUCGCACGCCGCUCCACUGCGGUGUUGUUCAUCUCUCAUGCAGCUCAUGAGGGACGUGACCGCGUGCGGGGGUUGGCGGGACGCGUGAGGACCGGAGCGCUCGCGGAAUCGUCGUGGGCUACUCGGCGGCACCACACAAGACCCCCGUGGCGGCCCACAGCCGCCUCCGUACAGCGCGGCCUCCCUACGUAUUGCAGCAGCAUCGUCGUCGUCGUCGUGGUGCCGUUGUUGUUGUGUUGUUUGUGUUUUCAGUCGAUCUAUUUCACCAGGGCAGAUGUCCCACAAGCCGGAGGCCGCAAGGCAAACACAGGCUGCGAAAUGGCUACACUUGGGCCCCAUCAGAUAAACUAAACUAUGACUUAACAAUUCUUAGUUUCUUACCAGGUAAGGCCCACUGAGAUAUGUAGCUCGUCUUUCGGAAGAGACCUGGCCACAAGUGAUAACGAAGUGGCUUAUCGCGUUGAAAUUUAUAGCGGGAGCCAAAAACUCUAAGCGCACAUUUAUAAAUGUGGGGGGACAAACCGGAGGACCCGGAGAAAAAUCCACGCGACCACGGAGAGAAAGAGACCGCAAACUCCAAAUAUACAGCAGCGGGCGUCAGGGUCGUUCACGAUUCAACGUAGGUUUGUGUAACCAGGUGGCGAGAACUCGAUAAGAGUACAGGACAGGAGUGACCUGUUUUUCUUGUCUAAACAUCAAACUGCAUCGUGCACUUUCAGAUGCGUUUCUGAGGCCGUCUGGAAUGCUCUUCCGAUAUUAGGAAGCCACUGGAGCUGUCCACUUUUAUAUCCAGAUUGAACUCAUUGCUGUAGAACUGCUUUUUGUGUUUAUCUGGUUGUACUUUCCCCACACCUCAGAUUAGCACGUUUGGCUACGUACGGUGUGAAAGAAGUUCGACAUGCGUACAGCCCUGGGUCACCAAACGUUACGGCGGCAAAACAAAGCAGAGCAAUGCGGCAAAAAGAAAUUGGAGUGGAAACAACGGUGUCACCGUGGGAAAUCGACAACAUUGCAAGAAACAUAAAUCUGCGAUAAAUCGAAGUUGAACAUUGAAUUAUAUAGCGGUGCAAGUCGGCUGGGGUAGAUUAGUUACAAAAUUUAUUGACAUAAACAUUAACGUUAAACAGAUACUGUAUACGCUGACUUUUUCACUAAUAUGCAAAUAGGCAAGGAUAUACGAGUCGAAUGCAAACACGAUUGCAUGACUAAGCAGUGCGAACCAUGUUUACAAUUUGCCUCUGAAAAGAAUGUAAGAAUGUAUUUGGUGGGGGGAUGGGUGGGGGGGAGAAGUGGUUGCGGCAGCACAGUGGUUGGCACCGCACGAGGAACCCAGCUCCCCCGAGUUGGACUCCCGGCCGUGGCUAUCGCCCAGCGGCGAGCGAACUCUGAGCCGCCCUGGGGCCCUCCACCGCUGUAGCCAACCACCCACACGCCGACACGGGGCCCUCCACCGCUGUAGCCAACCACCCACACGCCGACACGACGGGGCGGCCAAACCGCUCGCGGUCACAAAAACCUCGGCGUGCAGAGAGGCCUUCGUCCGGCAAUGGAUCGAUCGUGGCCGCCGAUCGUUGAAAGGACGAGCGAACGAGGCGAGGUGGUGGCACACACCGCGGGCUGGCGGAGAGCGCUCGACACGUGUUGGGCAGUAAGUCUGCCCUGGAGGGCAGACUUACUGCCCAACAGUAUUGGGUGGCGUUGCAGGUGGAAGCAACCCUCGGGCAUAGCGGCGAGAACUCGGUCAUGUCAUGUUCAUUUUUGUUGUUCGUGUUCAAAAUCUUCAGGAACACGAUGAGCUGUGAAGCUUUUUUCGUUUGUGCAGGUGUCCAGUCGGUGUUGGUGACUGAUGGCUCGUGUUUCCCGAUUGAUGGUGGUAGUGGUGAUGGUGGUAGUGGUGAUGGUGGUAGUGGUGUUGGUGGCGGUAAUGGUGGUUCAUGGACAACCACCUCUGUCUUGGUUAGUGGAGUGGGGGUGUCCCCCCCCCCACGCCGCCUGCCUGCCCCCCUCGACAGCAACGCAGUAGCUGCUGCUGGGACCGGCCCCCCCAAUUCCCUCUGGACCCCCCAAACCAGUGCCCCCCCCCCCCCCCGCCCAGCGCUCUCUGGCCGUGCUACACGCGCUCUCCACCGGCAGGUCUUUACGUCGCUUCUCUCGAGAGCCUAAAGCUGCCAGUUGAAGAGCUGAGGUCGCCGGCCUCUCUCUGCACGCGGGGUGGGUGGGGGGUGGUGAAGACGACGACGACGACGAGGAGUGCGGUGGAUACAAGAUCGAUGUCGCGAUGUUUGUGUGCGUCGGUGUCAUUUUGUUCGUUUACCCCGGCAAAGCCAGAGGCUCGAGACGUGUUGGGCAGGGGGGGGGGGUCCUGCCAUGCGUUGGCAGUAGGAGGGGGGGUGAUGGGCGAUGCUGCUGUAGUUGGUGUGUGAUCCCCGUGGAGUUGAUCUGCAGGCGACUGUUCAGCAUCGGGGUGUCUUAGCCAAUGCAAAGUGACGUUACAUGGAGGAAACGCAUGCAGAUCAGGGGGAGUACAUACAGACAACACACAACAUACACACUACACACAGAACAUACAGACAACACACAACACACACACCACACACAACAUACAGACAACACACACACCACACACAACAUACAGACAACACACAGAACACACAACACCACGACAUACAACACACAACAUACAACAUACAGAACAUACACACAACAUACAGAACAUACACACAACAUACACACAACACACAACAUACAGACAACACACAGAACAUACACAACAUACACACAACAUACACACAACACACAACAUACAGACAACACACAGACAACACACAGAGAGGCACCCGAGUCGGGAAGCGACCGGGCGUCACCACUGGACCACGCCGCGCGCCCGGCCGCCUUUGUAUCCCCAGUGCCGAUGUUCACCCACGCACCAGGACCUAGCGGGGAGGGGUGGCUUCGGACCAGCUCAGAUUUGACGCGUGGCCUGGAAGCAAACCCGGAUCGCCGGGUGUGUGGAGAGGUGUGCACACAAAGACAAAGACCCCUCCUAUAGCCUCUAACAGACUGUUGGGGCAAGUGCUGUUCACGAGCAGCGCCUAUGAAGGCCGGCACUGCGGCACACGAGGGAGUGGUGGGUGGCCAGCACCACGCCCGGCAGCCUUUGCCUUCCCCAAUGCCGAUGUUUACACAACGCACUCAUUUGAGGCUGAGUCGACCUAGGGAAGGAACAGAACCGGUUCAGAUAAUCGUUACCACUGGCGUUGGUGGCGGUGAGCUGGAAUCGAACUUCGGAUGGUCGGGUUCGCAGCGCAGCGCUAACCGCUACACUACCGCACCCCAGACACACGCACGCACACGUGUGCGCAAUACUGUAGUUGUACCGAGUUUAAUUGCUGUAUUACCACUGAAAGUUCGCGUUCAAACAAUGACGUUAUUGAAUAUGUAUUGCAGGUUGCUUAAGCGGCUGAGUGUAAAGUUGUGAAACAAUACGAACGUGUGUAUUACAUUACGUAUAGUGGUGAUUAUGAAGCGUAUGCAAAUGUUAUGUUAGCGCUCACCUGUGAUAUUGUGAUGUUAAUGCUCCGUCGUUGUACAAUUUGUCUGUGCGUGGGUCCCAGGUCUCCCUUGCCCGAGAGGGACUUGCGGCCUCAUGGGGACUCGUGAUAAAUAAAUAAAUACCGCCCCCACUA